GCUGUGAAUCGCCAUCAGAAGUGUCGCCUUGAGUUUCAGAGCUUUAGUGACCAUUUGGUGACCGAAUUAGGGUUUAGCUUUUCGGGCUUCGCAGACACGAAGACGAUGCACAAAUUUCCAACAAGUAUCGCAGUGGUUUUGCAGAACCUCCGCGACUAUUAAGGUUGUUGACGCUUCGAGAGAGAGAGAGAGAGAGAGAGAGUGUGUGUGAGUGUGUGUGUUGUUGUUGGUUUCCCGGAGGUGGAUGUGUUGAUUUGUUGAUUUCAAGCCACCAUGUUGCGGCGAAAACCGACGAGGCUGGAGCUCAAGCCAGAGGACAAGGAAGAGUAUGACGAAGCCAAGCGGAGAGCUGCUGCAGCGGCUCGCGCCUCAUCCACCGCAGGACCCGCUGCGUCCGCGCUUCUGGAUCACCAUCCCAGGGCCCCUGUCAACCAGCGCAUUGGUCUCUACAAGUAGAAACCUCUGUGGAAGCAGGAUUGAACCAGGCUCUUCAGAUGCUCAAAAGGCUCCUGUGAAAUUCGAGGCUUGAUUUUCUCCCUCAAGCUUGAUGGCGUACUUACUACUUUCCUCCGUUCUCUGGGCAUCUGGUUUACCACACCAUUGUUGAAGAUGUGAAGAAUCCCGUACGAUCAAGGUUACUCAUCCCAUCUGUGUUCGCUUCAAAGAGCGAAAGUGGUCACCAAGAAACGCCAUGGGGCAGCUCUCGCGUUAAAGACUUUGGUAGGAAAUGAAUUUGCAUGGAUCAUGUGUGGAAGCUUCUUGCGUAUAUGAAUUGAUACAAACCUACCAUACUCAAUGAAAUGCUGCUGGGAGUGAAUGUGGGAGCUUCUUGGGUGUAUUUGGAAAACAGUAUUCGCCAUCACCCUUGGAAACAGCUCUUCAGGUAGAGUAAGUGUAAAUUCACUGGUUGCCAUUAUUAGUGAUUCAUCUGAAUUAUGAGACUACUGUUUGAUUAUCAAAUCCCUUAAUAGGAUUACUUUUGGUCUGUUAAUCGUAAAAACGAAUUCAUUGGUUCUGCCAUAACUAUCAGACAUGUUGGGUGGUGGAUAUUACUUCAGCUUGUAUAUCAAUUGUUUGUGACCAAAGUGGGACAUAUGGAGGAGGAAGUUAAACUGGUGAUGCAAAAGGUCCAGGAAAUGCCCUUGAUAGAGAUCCAACUACAUCUUGCUUCAAUAGAAUCAACGCUCCCAAUUAUGGCAAUUCUUUCUUUCUUGAGGUUAGCGCAUCAACAUUCCCAGUGGCUCAAUUUCGCAUUUCUUUGACGACAAGCCAGCCAAUCGUGUAGUGCAAAUUGAACCACUGUGUGCUCUUCUUGUGUCAUGCACUGAAUCUUCUGUGAUUGGAUUUCGUGCACUGGUAGUCCUGGACAGACGCAGGUCUUAGCAGAGUGGAUUCCAAGCAAGCCUUUCAGUCUUUCGUUGACUUUUGCACAGAUCCUUCCAAGUUUACAGUGAAAUUGAUUGGAGCCAUCAACAUUGUAGAGGCUUUACCACUAUUUAAGUAGUAUCAGAUGCCAUAUUUCUCGCUAUCUAUUUCUUUUUAUCAUGGUCAAAAUUCUAGAAAGUGAACGAAGAUUCGUUUAGCUUUGUGAGGUAAGUUCAAAAUUUUAGUAGGAUUUAGACCAAAACAAUAUGUGUGAAUUAUACCUAGGUAUGAAAUUCAUAAUCUUCUUUACUUCUGAUAGAGCAUCUUAUACUGUUAUUUGAACUCUAGAAGGGCGUAAUUCCUGAUCCAGAGAAGUCAGAGAUGCAUUACAAGCGUGGAAGUUUGACACCCUUUCCUGUGAACCCUGCUUCAGGAAUUAUGAGGUGUGGCUCCUUCCCCAAACAUAUGUAUAGAUACUACAUAAUGCAUACUGCAGAUGAGUAUUGGAUCUAAAGAAAUCCAUAAGUUGCGCAUAUUGACUAGAGUAAUCGGAACAGUGAAGUUCGUUUUAUUUCAAACCCGUUUUGCAAAGCUGGUCACAAAAAGACA